rnacentral:piRNA from 1 species
UGUAAAGAAUGUCAUUAUCUGGGG